CAGCAAUGAAGCGGCCCCAAGAAGGAACAGGAAAGAUGGCAGUGAGUACAGACUGGUGAAGAACCGCCGCAGCCCACAGCUACCUGCUUCUAUGCCGGGGCCGUACUACAACCCGAGACCGAGGCAGCGCAUCCCCAGGGACUUGGCCAUGUGCGUGACUCCCAGCGGACAGUUCUACUGCUCCAUGUGUAACUGCGGAGCCGAGCAGGAGCCCGACUUCAGGCAGCAUCUUGAGAGCAAGCAGCACAAAGCAAAAGUGUCGGAGCUAAGAUACCGCCACGAGAUGGAGAACCUCGGCUACAGCUAAGAGACACAAGAGGAGAGUGUUCGGGGAGAUAACAGAAAGAGAGUAGAUUGACAGAGAAUAAGUGGGAGACAAAAAGAGAAGACCAGGAGGGCAAAUACUUCCCUCUGUUAAAGGGGAACAUUCAGAGAAGAGAUUAGCACACAUGGCCUCAAGAUCUUGUUGCAAUUCAUUUGAUACGCUUAAAUCCUCAUAUUUAGCAUAAUGCUCCUCAAUAUGAAGCUUCAAUGAGAUUUGAUGGAUUUAUUUGAUCCAGGUGUUACUCUUGAAAUUAUGUCUGUAUAUUGAGGCUUGUAACAUGUUUGCAGAUAACAGACAUGUAAAAACGAAUACAGAUGUUCGAUGUACAAUUCAUUUAUUUAGGCUCUGAGUCAGAUACAGUUUGAGACACUCCACUCUGUCUCAGUCUCCUCUGAGGCUUUGAGUGGGUUGCAUUGUGACUCAGGAUGCAGGUAAAUGCAAAUGGAUUGCAAUUAAAUCUUGAGCUUGAUCAGGCUGCAGGAAAAGGACUAGUGGUGCACAGAAAGCCAACAUCCCAGGAGAGGAGGCACAUUUGGUACAUGCACAGGGUUAAAGCAUUUGAAAAGAAUGCAACAUGUGGAAAAUAGCAAGAAACUGUUUGGUAGACUGUUUUGGUACUUGAAGAAUUGAAAAAAACACACACGUGGUCAGACACGUGUCCUCGUUGGGAUAACAAUCAACGCUGAGGACAAAGUUUGAGCCCUACAGGUAUUUUUUACAGGCCCUACAGAAGGGUCUUCAGGGCCACUUAUAGUGACCACUAUAAGCCACAAAUUCAACAUCUUUUUAACCUGACACAGGUUAUAAAUCCAAAGCUAAUUCAUAAAAAAGCAAAGCACAACAAACAACAUCCUCUGUUAUAAACAGUGUUACAUGAAUCUAUAGCCGUAGCCGACUUGUUAGCGGUUUUCUGGCGUGUUUCAGGCUGGAGGCUACAUCCUGGCUAGCCUUGUUUGUGCCUUUAGUGAGAAUUAGGCUAAAGAGUAAACUUUGGCUAGCCAUUUUGACAUAUAGUGGAAACCAAUCAAUGCAACUGAUUGGAUUUUUCUAUUAUCUGUGUCGCCUCUUUUAUUAUGAUAAAUCCACAUUAUGUAAAUAUUCUCAAAUGACAUUAAAGAUGUACAUUUAGGAUAAUAUACAUGAAUAUUAUUUAAUCCUUUGGUUAAUGUUAGCCUAGAAUACAUUGUAAAUACUCAUCUAUCUCAUUUAAUUAUGAUCAGGAUCUUGUGUGCACUGACUGAAUGUCUCUCAGCACUGUUUGUGUGUGGAUGUUACUGUAGGCCCUUUAUAGCACUUUGAGCGAUGUCCUUGUUCAUUGCUAAAGUACCAUCCGUCUCAUUAAAAGCUGCUAGUCUCAUCAUUGUGACUGUGCCGGAGGACGGCAUGAGAGGAGAAGCUGUCUCUGAAGCGUCUUUUGAGGCAGGGUUCAAGCUUUAUCUCUUUCUAGUCAACUCAGCCAAACCGGCAUUGUGAUAGGAAGAAAUGUGACAAUAGAUUGGGAGUGAUGCAGAGAGCUGAACGCAUUUGACUUAACUUUUAAUUAGAUUGCUAAUGAACAUGUUGAAGAGCUCAUGGAUAUUUUGGAAUGUAAGACACUCCAUUUAAUUCUCCCAACCAAUCGCAAUUCCCACAGGGGACAUUAACAUAUUUUAAUGCAGUGUGACGGGGCUGCAGACAACUCACAUGGAUUUUAUCUGAAUUUUUGUAAUGUUUUCUGUUGUUUUUAUAACUGACCCAGGUAGAGAUGCUUUUUUCAGUAUUCAAUCCAUCCUGAAAACAUCAAUUGUGUAAUCGGAAUCAAAUUAGAUUUUCUCUUUCUGUUUAUUCGAUUAUCUGUUCCAGCUCAGUAGUGCUGAGCUGAACACAGCGCUGUCACAAAGUAUUUGGAGCAACUCUAUAGUAGUCAAUGUAAACAAAAAUCUACAUUUUUAUUGUUUGAAACACUGAAUGUGACUUUUAAAGUGUUGUUUAUAUAUUGAUCAUUAGUUCUUUAAUUCUUUAGAUUGAAAUAAUGAGUGUAUUUAUGGCUCAAGUAAUCAUUUACAGUAUCACCAGUAGAUGUUUGGAUUGCAACAUGUGUCACACAUACUGUAUACAAGAAUAGAUUACUGUAGUUCAAAGGUGAAACAGCUUCCCUUUAAAUGUGCUUUUCUAACUUUCCACGCACACGUGCACACCCAGUCAAAAGCCUGAUCGGGUCACAUCAGCAGUGGUAUAAUGUGAAAGGAAAGCAAUUUCCUGGUUUGGUUAUUUGCAGGGAGAGGCAGCUGUUCACAUCUUUCAUUUGACUCUGGGGCACAGAAACACCUGAUCACACAGAUGAGGACGCUCAGGAGAAAAGCACUGUGAGGAUAUUAACAUGUGAGAGAGUUGGAGUGACUAACAGAGCAUAGAAAACUAAAUGUGAGGCUGUUUUCACUGUGCCGUGUAUUUUGAAAAAGAAGAAAAAGAACAAAGAUGAGCUGAUGAAAGCAGAGCUGAAGUGAAAGCUGUGGGCGAGACACAGGGAGUCGAGGAGUUCUUCAGUUGCUGUCUGUUAAUAGCUCUCCUUCUCCUAGAAAUAACAUGCUUUGUCUUACAUGAAAGAAUGGAUAGCAUAACCUUUUAUUAUGUUGACAGGCUCACACUCCAAUGCAGAAGCUGAACACUUUCAGCAAAAGCAUAGAGACAUGGGGAAAGUGUAGAAAGCUAUCAAACUAAAGAGCCUUAA